rnacentral:tRNA from 1 species
GCGCCAGUAGCUCAGCGGAUUAGAGCGCUCCGCUUCGGACGGAGAGGCCGCAGGUUCAAGUCCUGCCUGGCGCA